rnacentral:lncRNA from 1 species
GGCGGUAAUUGUUUAUCUGUUUAACUGCGACCAAUGAAAAUCAUUACUCUGUGGAUCCAAGUUCUGACUUUAUCUGUCAAUGGUGAAAAGAUGAGAAUCGUAUCAAAACUCUUUGCUAGCAAAACUGUCUAUUUUAUACAAGAUCGAAAAUGAUCAUUUCUUAAAACUUUACAAAUUAAUUGAGAAUUUCUAUAGCACAUACAUUUUGCCUCCUCUUGCAUAGAAUGAUAAAAGUGACGCCACUCAAAUUCGACUUUGAUUUAUGUUUUGUAAUAAUAAGCAUUGUGUAUUAUUUUCUUACCAUUUGGUUGAGACAAACUUGAAAUUUAGUAAACACAAACUAAUUUUGGGACGUAUGUACAGACAAGGGUAACAUUAAAUGUCCCCUCUGUUGCUGCAUACAAAAACAUUCAUCCUUAUGGGUUCAGAUGAAUUGUGGUAAAUUCCUUUAAACUGAACUUUGGAAGAGCAAACACAAAAUUUCCAGACAAUAUCUUAUCAUUAAGUUCAAAUGUACCUGCUGACCACCUUACAAGUACACUAGGUAGGUC